CUGAGCUCGUGCGCAGGAGCAGCGUCUGGGACGACCCCGACACGCCAGCCCAGCACUCGAGCCUGUGAGGUCCAUGUCUGCAAGGGACAGACCGUGUCAGUGACGCAGCAGCUUCUCAGGGACCCGGGGUUCACCCCUGAGACCCCGCCAUCUGCAGACUCUGGAGCAUCCCCUGUGUGAGAACAGAAAUACACGGCUGUGUCCUCGGGCCUCAGGCUGCUCAUUUGCAGAUACAGCGAGUUCUUGGCGUUGUCUCUGGAGACGGUGAAUCGGCCCUUCACGGAGUCUGCGU